GACAGAGGGUGCAAACGUUGUUCGGAAUUACUGGGCAUAAAGAGCACGUAGGUGGUGCGCUAAGUCAAGUGUGAAAUCCCCCGGCUCAACCGGGGAAUGGCGCGUGAUACUGGCGGACUCGAGGCGGGUAGGGGUGAGCGGAACUCCAGGUGGAGCGGUGAAAUGCGUAGAUAUCUGGAGGAACACCGGUGGCGAAAGCGGCUCACUGGACCUGAUCUGACACUGAGGUGCGAAAGCUAGGGUAGCAAACGGG
rnacentral:rRNA from 1 species